rnacentral:misc_RNA from 1 species
GAUGAAGAACGUAGCGAAAUGCGAUAAGUAAUGUGAAUUGCAGAAUUCAGUGAAUCAUCGAAUCUUUGAACGCACAUUGCGCCCGCCAGUAUUCUGGCGGGCAUGCCUGUUCGAGCGUCAUUACAACCCUCAGGCCCCCGGGCCUGGCGUUGGGGAUCGGCGGAGCCCCCCGUGGGCACACGCCGUCCCCCAAAUACAGUGGCGGUCCCGCCGCAGCUUCCAUCGCGUAGUAGCUAACACCUCGCGACUGGAGAGCGGCGCGGCCACGCCGUAAAACACCCAACUCUUCUGAAGUUGACCUCGAAUCAGGUAGGAAUACCCGCUGAACUUAAGCAUAUCAAUAAGCGAGA